rnacentral:rRNA from 1 species
AACGAACGCUGGCGGCAGGCUUAACACAUGCAAGUCGAACGCACCUUUCGGGGUGAGUGGCAGACGGGUGAGUAACGCGUGGGUAUCUACCCUUCUCUACGGGAUAGCUCCGGGAAACUGGAAUUAAUACCGUAUACGUCCUGAGGGAGAAAGAUUUAUCGGGGAAGGAUGAGCCCGCGUUGGAUUAGCUAGUUGGUGGGGUAAAGGCCUACCAAGGCGACGAUCCAUAGCUGGUCUAAGAGGAUGAUCAGCCACAUUGGGACUGAGACACGGCCCAAACUCCUACGGGAGGCAGCAGUGGGGAAUAUUGGACAAUGGGCGCAAGCCUGAUCCAGCCAUGCCGCGUGAGUGAUGAAGGCCCUAGGGUUGUAAAGCUCUUUCAGUGGGGACGAUAAUGACGGUACCCACAGAAGAAGCCCCGGCUAACUUCGUG